rnacentral:rRNA from 1 species
CCUACGGGUGGCUGCAGUGGGGAAUUUUGGACAAUGGGCGCAAGCCUGAUCCAGCCAUGCCGCGUGUGGGAAGAAGGCCUUCGGGUUGUAAACCACUUUUGUCAGGGAAGAAACGGUUCGGUCUAAUACACUGGACUAAUGACGGUACCUGAAGAAUAAGCACCGGCUAACUACGUGCCAGCAGCCGCGGUAAUACGUAGGGUGCGAGCGUUAAUCGGAAUUACUGGGCGUAAAGCGUGCGCAGGCGGCUUUGCAAGACAGAUGUGAAAUCCCCGGGCUCAACCUGGGAACUGCAUUUGUGACUGCAAGGCUAGAGUACGGCAGAGGGGGAUGGAAUUCCGCGUGUAGCAGUGAAAUGCGUAGAUAUGCGGAGGAACACCGAUGGCGAAGGCAAUCCCCUGGGCCUGUACUGACGCUCAUGCACGAAAGCGUGGGGAGCAAACAGGAUUAGAUACCCAAGUAGUC